AGUGAACGCUGGCGGUAGGCCUAACACAUGCAAGUCGAACGGCAGCACAGUAAGAGCUUGCUCUUACGGGUGGCGAGUGGCGGACGAGUGAGGAAUACAUCGGAAUCUACUUUUUCGUGGGGGAUAACGUAGGGAAACUUACGCUAAUACCGCAUUCGACCUACGGGUGAAAGCAGGGGAUCUUCGGACCUUGCGCGAUUGAAUGAGCCGAUGUCGGAUUAGCUAGUUGGCGGGGUAAAGGCCCACCAAGGCGACGAUCCGUAGCUGGUCUGAGAGGAUGAUCAGCCACACUGGAACUGAGACACGGUCCAGACUCCUACGGGAGGCAGCAGUGGGGAAUAUUGGACAAUGGGCGCAAGCCUGAUCCAGCCAUACCGCGUGGGUGAAGAAGGCCUUCGGGUUGUAAAGCCCUUUUGUUGGGAAAGAAAAGCAGCAGGUUAAUACCCCGCUGUUCUGACGGUACCCAAAGAAUAAGCACCGGCUAACUUCGU
rnacentral:rRNA from 1 species